UAUUCACCUUAUUUUCCAUGGCAACAACGGUGCCGCCAUUGCGCUCGUUUUGUCAUCUUACUUCCGGCUGAGGGACCGGAUGUAACGUACCUAAGCUAGUGGCUGGCUAGAUAACAGAACGCAGAACGAACAGAAGUAUGAUAUAUGCUCAGUUAGGGGCUGCAUAACAAUUGUAUUAAAAAAUAAUUGCACCAACGAUGUAGCAAACACAUUGUGACGCGGUCGGAGUGCUGUGGUGCACUUUACAAUUUACACCCACCACCUAAAGAAGAGAAGCACCUGAGGAAAUGGAUGAAGGCGCUAAAUUUGAAGCGCCCACCCAAGCGCUCUUAUGUGUGUUCGUACCAUUUCAUGGACGGGAAGGCGACUGACGAACACUUUUACCCCGAGAAAUGGCUCGACUACGAUGUCCCGUUAAAGAGGUCACGCCGGGGAUGAAAAGGUUGUCAGAUUCGGAUGUAUCGAUGACCGCCAGUGAUGCAGUGGACAGCUGUGAGGGUGAUCAGAUCCACAUGCCCCUGAUCUUGCUGAAAGUCACCAGAAGUUACCUGCUGUGAUAGUUAUUUUUUAUGAACCUUUACAAAGUCACCAAAAGUUACCUGCUGUAAUAGUUAUUAUGAACCUUUACAGUGUCACCUGACAUUACCUGCUGUAAAUAGUUUUUAUUUAUUUAUCUUAAUUUGUUAAGUUAAUUCCAUCUUGGUUUAUUACAUAUGGAAAUUAAAUGUUGAAAUUUUAUAGGAUGGUCAGUAGAAGGUGUCUCUUGCUUCCUGAAAACAACAAACACUGAUCAAUACAUCACAAAUGAUUUUAUACAACUUAUAUUAAAUGAUCCAUGUUCUAAAAAACAAA